rnacentral:rRNA from 1 species
GACGAACCGUGCGAACGUUGUUCGGAUUCACUGGGCUUAAAGGGCGCGUAGGCGGAUGGUCGAGUCGGGGGUGAAAUCUUUCAGCUUAACUGGAAAAGUGCCUCCGAUACUGAUCGUCUCGAGGGAGGUAGGGGCAUGUGGAACUUCCGGUGGAGCGGUGAAAUGCGUAGAUAUCAAGCGGAACACCAGUGGCGAAGGCGAGUCCCUGGACAACUCCUGACACUGAGGCACGAAAGCUAGGGGAGCAAACAGG